UCAAGAGAGAUGAUGCCAGUAUGGAC
rnacentral:piRNA from 1 species